AGAAGCAAUAGGAGAUAUAUCUCUUAUUACAUUAAGUCUCCUAUUGCUUCUGUUUCUCUGGAGAACUCUAAUACAUAAAAGAUUAUGAUUAGAAUUAUGCUUGAAGAAGGUUAAUCUUAUAAUGGCAUGCAGAGCGGAGCUGGGCAAGGCCAGAGGCUAAAUAUGGAGCCAGAAAGAUACUGCAGAAAGUGAGCAAAAAGGAUGAGUGGAUGGCCUGGGGUGGAAUCCGUGAAAAAGGGCAGAUUGUCAGUCUCAGGAAAUCAACAGGACUGAGUUCUAACUUCAGCUGGGCUACUAUGCCCUGGGGAAUCAGAAGAUUCUCCCUAACAUUGGAGUCCAAAGAAGAGGAGCCACCAUCUCCUUAACUACAAAACAACUGAGAGAAGAAAUGUCUCCCUUUAGUGCCAGUGAAGAGUUUUGCUUCUCUAGAACAACUGUUUAUUUUUGAUCUUAUGAAACGCGUGACACUUGUAACUGAUUUGCCUUCUUUUUGCUUGCUGCUAGAAAUCUCAGAACCAAAUUCGAGGUCAUUUCUGAAUGUGCUGGACUACACAGCAUGAAUUCUGUGUCCUCUCACCUCAUUCAUAGAUACAUUUUUUUAUUCCUACCCAUCUUUUCCUUUCCCCAGAUUUUCCUAUUGCUCUUUUAUCAUCUUGAGUAAAGAAGGUUAAACUAUGAAUAAAAAGUACAAUCUCAAUGACGAGUCAGGGAAAAGUAAGUUUUGGACUUCCAUUUAGAGCCAUUUAUAGGUCAGCAAUCUUUUGUCUCUGUGUCUUCUUUCUGCCCUGAACAACCAAGGCAUCCUAGUCAGUCUCUCUUCAUCUGCAUACCACUUUAAAGAGCCCAGGGGUCUUCCAAGUACAGUCACUACUAAGAAAAUGUCUUCAGUAAAUUUUUUUUUUUUUUUUUUGAGAUGGAGUCUCGCUCUGUCGCCCAGGCUGGAAUGUAGUGGCACGAUCUCAGCUCACUGCAAGCUCUGCCUCCCGGGUUCACGCCAUCCUCCUGCCUCAGCCUCCCAAGUAGCUGAGACUACAGGCACCUGCCACCAUGCCCGGCUAAUUUUUUUUGUAUUUUUAGUAGAGACGGGGUUUCACUGUAUUAGCCAGGAUGGUCUUAAUCUCCUGACCUCAUGAUCCGCCCGCCUCGGCCUCCCAAAGUGCUGGGAUUACAGGCGUGAGCCCCCGCGCCCAGCCUUCAGUAAAAUUUUAAUGCAUGUUGCUUAUCAUUCUUUGUAUUGUAAGCACCAAUCCUUAAUCUGUGCUGUGGUUUUUGUUCAGAAACAUUUCUUUAAAAAAAUUUCCCCAGACGCUCAGCCUUCAUAUUCUAAUCUUUAUUAUUCUGAACUACCUACAAAGCUAAAUAUACCUUGUCUACAUGCAGUGCUUAUGUAACAAUGGUGCUUAUUUUGUUUUACAUUGCUUCAACCUCUGACCAGAAACUUAGAGGACAGAAUGCCCUGCUUUUACAAAAAAUGUGGUGACCACAACGGUAACCUUAUCUAAUUGAGACCAUUUUAGGAAGGAGGGGAGGAGAUAUUUUUACUGCAAAGACUGAGUCAUAAGCCUUCAUUUUUUACCCUGGGUUGUGCAGAAACUUUAAACUUUCUAUAUUAUUUCAUUUCUUCCAUACCAGGACAUUUAUUUCCUAUUCAGUGACAAUCUUGAUGUCUUCAUCCUUCAAACUGCUCUCUAACAUAGUUUCAAAAUCCAAGCAUUAAACAUUAUUAAUGCUCAGGGGAUGAAUAUGUUCAUUACCUUUACUGUAGUGAUGAUUUCCUAUGGCAAAAUGUUAAAUGAUGUAAAGAUAAAAAUAAUUAUCAUAGUUAUUAAUCAUAGCAAUAAAACUGGACUACCUAAAGCACA
rnacentral:lncRNA from 1 species